rnacentral:rRNA from 1 species
GUAGGGGGCGAGCGUUAUCCGGAUUCACUGGGUGUAAAGGGAGCGUAGACGGCCAAGCAAGCCAGGGGUGAAAGCCCGGGGCCCAACCCCGGGACUGCCCUUGGAACUGCAUGGCUGGAGUGCGGGAGGGGCAGGCGGAAUUCCUGGUGUAGCGGUGAAAUGCGUAGAUAUCAGGAGGAACACCGGCGGCGAAGGCGGCCUGCUGGACCGCGACUGACGUUGAGGCUCGAAAGCGUGGGGAGCGAA